rnacentral:tRNA from 1 species
UGGCUCCUACCGUGAGGGCGGUCUCCGCUCGCGGUGGGGGCGUGCCCGCAUCGUGGGCGGCCCGCCCGUUCAGACGAACGGGACUGGC